GAUGAACGCUAGCGGCAGGCCUAACACAUGCAAGUCGAGGGGCAGCACAGAAACAGCAAUGUUUUGGUGGCGACCGGCGGACGGGUGCGUAACGCGUAUGCAACCUACCUUUAACAGGGGGAUAACGGAGAGAAAUUUCCACUAAUACCCCAUAACAUCGAUCAAGGCAUCUGGAUUUGUUGAACACUCCGGGGGUUAAAGAUGGGCAUGCGUUGUAUUAGGUAGUUGGUGAGGUAAUGGCUCACCAAGCCUACGAUACAUAGGGGGACUGAGAGGUUAGCCCCCCACACUGGUACUGAGACACGGACCAGACUCCUACGGGAGGCAGCAGUGAGGAAUAUUGGUCAAUGGGGGCAACCCUGAACCAGCCAUGCCGCGUGCAGGAAGACGGCUCUAUGAGUUGUAAACUGCUUUUAAACAGGGAUAAAGCACAGUAUGUAUACUGUGUUGAAGGUACUGUAAGAAUAAGGAUCGGCUAACUCCGUGCCAGCCGCCGCGGUAA
rnacentral:rRNA from 1 species